CACUUAAAAUAUAUAAGGCUAAGAGAAUUACUACUUUAUUCUCUUAGCCUUAUAUGAUAUUUUAAGCAGAGAACUUGAUGCAUGCAGUACUUAUUUAACUUGAUGCAAUACAAGAUUAAAGUCGUAGUUUGAGAAUAAAUGUAAAAUUACAAGAAUUAAUUAAUAACAUUAUGAUAGUAAUGUUGUAAGACUUUUUCUUUAAGACAAAAGUUUUCCUGCUAAGACAAAAGUUGAGAUCAAGCACCCUGCAAUAAAGCAAUAAAACUCAUCUGAGGAGAUCUCAAAGAAAUAGGACACCGCCUUGCCCAAACUCUCCUCGCUCAUAAUUCUGUUCUCCUUUUUGGAUGGUGUCUCUCCAAGAUAUCUGAUAACCCACUCCUCUCCCCCAAAAACAGGUGUUAGUGUAGUGAAUAUUUACAAUCCUUUUGUUCUGGUCUGGGUAUUUAAGGGAAGGUGGCAGAGCAGCCAUUGGGAUCUUCUGUAGACAGAAACCCACAUGCAGUGAUUGGUGAAUGUCUGAAGACACUCACAGACCACUGUGUGAUGCAUUUCUUACUCUUAGAAUCAUCUUUGAGCAAUUGAUGUUAUGUAUUUAUGAUAUCUGAAUUGGCUUCUAAUUGUUUAAAUGUGUAAUUGGCAUGACAUAUUUUUUACCUGACAAAUAAAUGUUAAAUUUUUUUUUUUUUUUUUUUUUUUAAUUUUUUCAUGAUUUAUUCUGAA